rnacentral:rRNA from 1 species
GACGAACGCUGGCGGCGUGCUUAACACAUGCAAGUCGAACGGAAAGGCCCUGCUUUUGUGGGGUGCUCGAGUGGCGAACGGGUGAGUAACACGUGAGUAACCUGCCCUUGACUUUGGGAUAACUUCAGGAAACUGGGGCUAAUACCGGAUAGGAGCUCCUGCUGCAUGGUGGGGGUUGGAAAGUUUCGGCGGUUGGGGAUGGACUCGCGGCUUAUCAGCUUGUUGGUGGGGUAGUGGCUUACCAAGGCUUUGACGGGUAGCCGGCCUGAGAGGGUGACCGGCCACAUUGGGACUGAGAUACGGCCCAGACUCCUACGGGAGGCGGCAGUGGGGAAUAUUGCACAAUGGGCGGAAGCCUGAUGCAGCAACGCCGCGUGCGGGAUGACGGCCUUCGGGUUGUAAACCGCUUUCGCCUGUGACGAAGCGUGAGUGACGGUAAUGGGUAAAGAAGCACCGGCUAACUACGUGCCAGCAGCCGCGGUGAUACGUAGGGUGCGAGCGUUGUCCGGAUUUAUUGGGCGUAAAGGGCUCGUAGGUGGUUGAUCGCGUCGGAAGUGUAAUCUUGGGGCUUAACCCUGAGCGUGCUUUCGAUACGGGUUGACUUGAGGAAGGUAGGGGAGAAUGGAAUUCCUGGUGGAGCGGUGGAAUGCGCAGAUAUCAGGAGGAACACCAGUGGCGAAGGCGGUUCUCUGGGCCUUUCCUGACGCUGAGGAGCGAAAGCGUGGGGAGCGAACAGGCUUAGAUACCCUGGUAGUCCACGCUGUAAACGGUGGGUACUAGGUGUGGGGUCCAUUCCACGGGUUCCGUGCCGUAGCUAACGCUUUAAGUACCCCGCCUGGGGAGUACGGCCGCAAGGCUAAAACUCAAAGGAAUUGACGGGGCCCCGCACAAGCGGCGGAGCAUGCGGAUUAAUUCGAUGCAACGCGUAGAACCUUACCUGGGUUUGACAUGGAUCGGGAGCGCUCAGAGAUGGGUGUGCCUCUUUUGGGGUCGGUUCACAGGUGGUGCAUGGCUGUCGUCAGCUCGUGUCGUGAGAUGUUGGGUUAAGUCCCGCAACGAGCGCAACCCUUGUUCACUGUUGCCAGCACGUUAUGGUGGGGACUCAGUGGAGACCGCCGGGGUCAACUCGGAGGAAGGUGGGGAUGACGUCAAGUCAUCAUGCCCCUUAUGUCCAGGGCUUCACGCAUGCUACAAUGGCUGGUACAGAGAGUGGCGAGCCUGUGAGGGUGAGCGAAUCUCGGAAAGCCGGUCUCAGUUCGGAUUGGGGUCUGCAACUCGACCUCAUGAAGUCGGAGUCGCUAGUAAUCGCAGAUCAGCAACGCUGCGGUGAAUACGUUCCCGGGGCU